rnacentral:rRNA from 1 species
AGUGAACGCUGGCGGUAGGCCUAACACAUGCAAGUCGAACGGCAGCACAGUAAGAGCUUGCUCUUACGGGUGGCGAGUGGCGGACGGGUGAGGAAUACAUCGGAAUCUACUUUUUCGUGGGGGAUAACGUAGGGAAACUUACGCUAAUACCGCAUACGACCUACGGGUGAAAGCAGGGGAUCUUCGGACCUUGCGCGAUUGAAUGAGCCGAUGUCGGAUUAGCUAGUUGGCGGGGUAAAGGCCCACCAAGGCGACGAUCCGUAGCUGGUCUGAGAGGAUGAUCAGCCACACUGGAACUGAGACACGGUCCAGACUCCUACGGGAGGCAGCAGUGGGGAAUAUUGGACAAUGGGGGCAAGCCUGAUCCAGUCAUACCGCGUGGGUGAAGAAGGCCUUCGGGUUGUAAAGCCCUUUUGUUGGGAAAGAAAAGCAGCAGGUUAAUACCCCGCUGUUCUGACGGUACCCAAAGAAUAAGCACCGGCUAACUUCGUG